GAGAAGAACGCAGCGAAAUGCGAUAAGUAAUGUGAAUUGCAGAAUUCAGUGAAUCAUCGAAUCUUUGAACGCACAUUGCGCCCCUUGGUAUUCCGAGGGGCAUGCCUGUUCGAGCGUCAUUACACCACUCAAGCUAUGCUUGGUAUUGGGCGUCGUCCUUAGUUGGGCGCGCCUUAAAGACCUCGGCGAGGCCACUCCGGCUUUAGGCGUAGUAGAAUUUAUUCGAACGUCUGUCAAAGGAGAGGAACUCUGCCGACUGAAACCUUUAUUUUUCUAGGUUGACCUCGGAUCAGGUAGGGAUACCCGCUGAACUUAAGCAUAUCAAUAAGCGGAGGA
rnacentral:misc_RNA from 1 species